rnacentral:rRNA from 1 species
UACAGGGGGGGCAAGCGUUGUUCGGAAUUACUGGGCGUAAAGGGUUCGUAGGUGGCCAACUAAGUCAGAUGUGAAAUCCCUCAGCUUAACUGGGGAACUGCUUCUGAUACUGGUUGGCUUGAGUGCAGGAGAGGAAUGCGGAAUUCCAGGUGUAGCGGUGAAAUGCGUAGAUAUCUGGAGGAACACCGGUGGCGAAGGCGGCAUCCUGGACCGAUACUGACACUGAGGAGCGAAGGCCAGGGGAGCAAACGGG